rnacentral:rRNA from 1 species
AAUCAACGCUGGCGGCGUGCCUCAGACAUGCAAGUCGAACGCGAAAGUCCCCUUCGGGGGAUAAGUAGAGUGGCGUCCGGGUGAGUAACACGUAGGUAAUCUACCUUCGGGUGGGGAAUAACCCAGGGAAACUUGGGCUAAUACCGCAUAAUGCAGCGGCACCACAUGGUGACAGUUGUUAAAGCGGGGGAUCUUCGGAUCUCGCGCCUGAAGAGGAGCCUGCGGCAGAUUAGCUAGUUGGUAAGGUAAUGGCUUACCAAGGCGACGAUCUGUAGCCGGCCUGAGAGGGCGGUCGGCCACACUGACACUGACAUACGGGUCAGACUCCUACGGGAGGCAGCAGUCGGGAAUUUUGGGCAAUGGGCGAAAGCCUGACCCAGCAACGCCGCGUGAAGGAUGAAAUCCCUCGGG